rnacentral:rRNA from 1 species
GACGAACGCUGGCGGCGUGCUUAACACAUGCAAGUCGAACGGAAAGGCCCCUCUUGGGGUGCUUGAGUGGCUAACGGGCGAGUAACACGUAAGUAACUUGCCCUUCACUUCGUGAUAACUUCAGGAAACUGGGGCUAAUACCGGAUAGGAAUGCUCUCUUCAUGGUGGGGGUGGGAAAGCUUCGGCGGUUGUGGAUGGACUCGCGGCUUAUCAGCUUGUUGGUGGGGUAGUGGCUUACCAAGGCUUUGACGGGUAGCCGGCCUGAGAGGGCGACCGGCCACAUUGGGACUGAGAUACGGCCCAGACUCCUACGGGAGGCAGCAGUGGGGAAUAUUGCACAAUGGGCGGAAGCCUGAUGCAGCAACGCCGCGUGCGGGAUGACGGCCUUCGGGUUGUAAACCGCUUUCAGCAGGGGCGAAGCUUGUGGUGACGGUACCUGCAGAAGAAGCACCGGCUAACUACGU